rnacentral:misc_RNA from 1 species
GAUGAAGAACGCAGCGAAAUGCGAUAAGUAAUGUGAAUUGCAGAAUUCAGUGAAUCAUCGAAUCUUUGAACGCUCAUUGCGCCCCUUGGUAUUCCGAGGGGCAUGCCUGUUCGAGCGUCAUUAUAACCCCUCAAGCUCAGCUUGGUGUUGGGGCCUGCCGCACGGGCAGCCCUUAAAAUCAGUGGCGGUGCCAUCUGGCUCUAAGCGUAGUAAUUCUUCUCGCUAUAGAGUCCCGGUGGAUGCUUGCCAUUAACCCCCAAUUUUCUAUGGUUGACCUCGGAUCAGGUAGGGAUACCCGCUGAACUUAAGCAUAUCAAUAAGCGGAGGA